ACUCCUACGGGAGGCAGCAGUGGGGAAUAUUGCACAAUGGGCGCAAGCCUGAUGCAGCCAUGCCGCGUGUGUGAAGAAGGCCUUCGGGUUGUAAAGCACUUUCAGUCGUGAGGAAGGUAGUGUAGUUAAUAGCUGCAUUAUUUGACGUUAGCGACAGAAGAAGCACCGGCUAACUCCGUGCCAGCAGCCGCGGUAAUACGGAGGGUGCGAGCGUUAAUCGGAAUUACUGGGCGUAAAGCGCAUGCAGGUGGUUUGUUAAGUCAGAUGUGAAAGCCCGGGGCUCAACCUCGGAAUUGCAUUUGAAACUGGCAGGACUAGAGUACUGUAGAGGGGGGUAGAAGUUUCAGGUGUAGCGGUGAAAUGCGUAGAGAUCUGAAGGAAUACCGGUGGCGAAGGCGGCCCCCUGGACAGAUACUGACACUCAGAUGCGAAAGCGUGGGGAGCAAACAGGAUUAGAUACCCU
rnacentral:rRNA from 1 species